CAUGAGGUCACCUGCAUUCCCUCUAACGAAAUCUCAUGGAAGAAGACACUCGAUUAAUCACUUUCAUGCGGUCAUUUUCAACCAACAUUAGUAACGAUGGUCCCAACUUGGACGUUUCCAAGGGAUGGAGCGUCACUCGGUCGAUUUUGUUGGGCUUUUGCAACGGCUCGAAUGUCGAGCGAGAGUGUAUUGAGGUUCACGCGAUAUAUGGACAUUUUAUUCGACCUUUCACACGAUAUACACAGAUUGAAAAACCUUUUUUUUUCCUUUAAAAUUUUCAACAACGAAGCAACUCUCCAAGCCUAAGUCUGAACCAUAAUGGAUUUUGGAUAAUUAUUUCUUAAAUGAAUUUAUGAAUUGCUCCCUUCUUACCCAAAGUAAAUAAAAAAAAACACUAGCAUGAUUCUUUUUCUUUUAUUUUUUAAAAAAUAAAAUUUUACAUGUGUUAUACAGGGUAUUUCCGCGGAUACUUUGCCAACAUGGUAUCGUUGCCAUUGGACUACCUCGCUGGUCACGAUCAACAUCAUCGACAUACCUCCACCAUCAAUACUAUUCACUUUGAACUUAGGCAAUAUGCGAGCCGCCAAU
rnacentral:lncRNA from 1 species